GUAAGGAAUAUUGGUCAAUGGACGAAAGUCUGAACCAGCUAUGCCGCGUGGAGGAUGAAGGCCCUCUGGGUUGUAAACUUCUUUUAUAUGGGACGAAAAAAGGCUUUUCUAAGUCGUCUGACGGUACCAUUUGAAUAAGCACCGGCUAACUCCGUGCCAGCAGCCGCGGUAAUACGGAGGGUGCAAGCGUUAUCCGGAUUCACUGGGUUUAAAGGGUGCGUAGGUGGGUUGGUAAGUCAGUGGUGAAAUCUCCGAGCUUAACUUGGAAACUGCCAUUGAUACUAUCAGUCUUGAAUAUUGUGGAGGUUAGCGGAAUAUGUCAUGUAGCGGUGAAAUGCUUAGAUAUGACAUAGAACACCAAUUGCGAAGGCAGCUGGCUACACAUAUAUUGACACUGAGGCACGAAAGCGUGGGGAUCAAACAGGAUUAGAAACCCGAGUAGUCC
rnacentral:rRNA from 1 species